rnacentral:rRNA from 1 species
AUUGAACGCUGGCGGCAUGCCUUACACAUGCAAGUCGAACGGCAGCACGGGAGCAAUCCUGGUGGCGAGUGGCGAACGGGUGAGUAAAGUAUCGGAACGUGCCCAGUCGUGGGGGAUAACGUAGCGAAAGUUACGCUAAUACCGCAUACGAUCUAUGGAUGAAAGCGGGGGAUCGCGAGACCUCGCGCGAUUGGAGCGGCCGAUAUCAGAUUAGGUAGUUGGUGGGGUAAAGGCUCACCAAGCCGACGAUCUGUAGCUGGUCUGAGAGGACGACCAGCAACACUGGGAGUGAGAAACGGCCCAGACUCCUACGGGAGGCAGCAGUGGGGAAUUUUGGACAAUGGGCGAAAGCCUGAUCCAGCCAUGACGCGUGCAGGAUGAAGGCCUUCGGGUUGUAAACUGCUUUUGUACGGAACGAAAAGGUUUGGGCUAAUAAGCUGAGCUCAUGACGGUACCGUAAGAAUAAGCACCGGCUAACUACGUGCCAGCCGCCGCAGUAA